CUGUAGCUCAACUGGCAGAGCAACUGACUCUUAAUCAGUAGGUUGAAGGUUCGAGUCCUUCCGGGG
rnacentral:tRNA from 1 species